GGGCCCGCACAAGCGGUGGAGCAUGUGGUUUAAUUCGAUGAUACGCGAGGAACCUUACCAGGGCUUAAAUGUAGUGGGACAGGUCUAGAGAUAGACCCUUCUUCGGACUCAUUACAAGGUGCUGCAUGGUUGUCGUCAGCUCGUGCCGUGAGGUGUCAGGUUAAGUCCUAUAACGAGCGCAACCCCUAUCGUUAGUUGCCAGCGAGUAAUGUCGGGAACUCUAACGAAACUGCCAGUGCAAACUGUGAGGAAGGUGGGGAUGACGUCAAAUCAUCACGGCCCUUACGUCCUGGCUACACACGUGCUACAAUGCUACGGACAAAGGGCAGCAAGUUCGCGAGGACAAGCA
rnacentral:rRNA from 1 species